rnacentral:rRNA from 1 species
GCAAGUCAAGGAGAACGUUCCCUUCGGGGGAUUAUUAAACUGGCGAACGGGUGAGUAACGCGUAGGUUAUCUGCCCUCUACACUGACAUAACACAGAGAAAUCUGUGCUAAUAUCAGAUGAGGUCCUUCGGGAUCAAAGCUUCGGCGGUAGAGGAUGAGCCUGCGUCUGAUUAGCUGGUUGGUGAGGUAAUGGCUCACCAAGGCUGCGAUCAGUAGCUGGUCUGAGAGGAUGGUC